GAUGAACGCUAGCUACAGGCUUAACACAUGCAAGUCGAGGGGGAGCAUGAACAUAGCUUGCUAUGUUUGAUGGCGACCGGCGCACGGGUGCGUAACACGUAUCCAAUCUACCCAUGGCUCGGGGAUAGCCUUUCGAAAGAAAGAUUAAUACCCGAUGGUCUCGGUUUAAGGCAUCUUAGACUGAGUAAAGAUUUAUCGGCGAUGGAUGAGGAUGCGUCUGAUUAGGUAGAUGGCGGGGUAACGGCCCACCAUGCCUACGAUCAGUAGGGGUUCUGAGAGGAAGGUCCCCGACAUUGGAACUGAGACACGGUCCAAACGCCUACGGGAGGCAGCAGAGAGGAAUAUUGAUCAAUGGACGAGAGGCAGAACCAGCCAAGUAGCGUGAAGGAUGACUGCCCUAUGGGUUGUAAACUUCUUUUGUUUGGGAAUAAAGUUCGGGACGUGUCCCGUUUUGUAUGUACCAUUCGAAUAAGCAUCGGCUAAUUCCGUGCCAGCCGCCGCGGUAACAC
rnacentral:rRNA from 1 species